rnacentral:rRNA from 1 species
AGGGUAUUCGUGCAUGGAUGGUAGCUCUAGAACAGCAUCAUGAAAAUUUUAUAUUCCUUGAGGAGGUUCUACAACGUGGAAACACUCUUUAGUGAAACUUUUGUUUUAGCUGGCCGUGACUAACAGACCACUGGCUUUGCUUGGUUAGCCGGGAAUGUUAGACUUAUCGUUUUUCUGGUAAACCUACUUGGAGCUCACGUAGCCCAUGCCGGAGUAAUCAUAUUCUAGGCCAGAGCAAUGAACCUAUUUAAAGAUUGGUGA